GACGAACGCUGGCGGCGUGCUUAACACAUGCAAGUCGAACGGAAAGGCCCUGCUUUUGUGGGGUGCUCGAGUGGCGAACGGGUGAGUAACACGUGAGUAACCUGCCCUUGACUUUGGGAUAACUUCAGGAAACUGGGGCUAAUACCGGAUAGGAGCUCCUGCUGCAGGGUGGGGGUUGGAAAGUUUCGGCGGUUGGGGAUGGACUCGCGGCUUAUCAGCUUGUUGGUGGGGUAGUGGCUUACCAAGGCUUUGACGGGUAGCCGGCCUGAGAGGGUGACCGGCCACAUUGGGACUGAGAUACGGCCCAGACUCCUACUGGAGGCAGCAGUGGGGAAUAUUGCACAAUGGGCGGAAGCCUGAUGCAGCAACGCCGCGUGCGGGAUGACGGCCUUCGGGUUGUAAACCGCUUUCGCCUGUGACGAAGCGUGAGUGACGGUAAUGGGUAAAUAAGCACCGGCUAACUACGUG
rnacentral:rRNA from 1 species